rnacentral:rRNA from 1 species
GAUAGCUGGUUCUCCCCGAAAUAGCUUUAGGGCUAGCCUCAGGGAAAAGAUUGCAGGCGGUAGAGCACUGAUCAGGAGAGGGACCUACCCGGUUACCAAACCCAGUCAAACUCCGAAUGGCUGCAAUCAUACCUGGGAGUCAGACUGCGACUAAUAAGGGCCGCAGUCAAAAGGGAAACAGCCCAGACCAUCAGCUAAGGUCCCCAAUGCCGUGCUAAGUGGCGAAGGAUGUGGCAUUUCAUAAACAACCAGGAUGUUGGCUCAGAAGCAGCCACCAUUUAAAGAGUGCGUAAUAGCUCACUGGUCGAGAGACGCUGCGCCGAAAAUGUCCGGGGCUCAAGCACGGAACCGAAGCUAUGGCAUGAUAGCAAUAUCAUGGGUAGGGGAGCGUUCUUAUAAGGAAGAAGCAUGACCGGAAGGACAUGUGGACGAAUAAGAAGUGAGAAUGCCGGUAUGAGUAUCGAAAAGAAAGGUGAGAAUCCUUUCCACCGAAAGCCCGAGGGUUCCUGAGCAACGAUCGUCGACUCAGGGUAAGUCGGGACCUAAGCCGAGGCGAGAAGCGUAGGCGAUGGACAACAGGUUGAAAUUCCUGUACCGGAUCAAGUCGAUCGAGCGAAGGAGCGACGCAGGAGGGCACAUGAUCGCGCGGCUGGAAGAGCGCGUCCAAGUGCGUAUGUUGCAGCAGAGGAAAACCCCUGCAGCUAAAAGCAGAGACAUGAUGGGGAGUUAAAGGAAACUUUGACGAACUCAUGGAUCCCACACUGCCAAGAAAAACUUCUAGCGAGACAAGAUCCGCCCGUACCGUAAACCGACACAGGUAGGCGGGGAGAGAAUCCUAAGGUGCGCGGGAAAACCCUCGUUAAGGAACUCGGCAAAUUGCAUCCGUAACCUAGGGAGAAGGAUGGCCCCCUGUCAGUGAAGAGCAGAAACGCUCAGAGCUAAAAGGGGCGGCAGAAAAGAGGCCCAAGCAACUGUUUACCAAAAACACAGGUGCCUGCGAAAGCGAAAGCUGAAGUAUAGGUGCUGACGCCUGCCCGGUGCCGGAAGGUUAAGGAGAGAAGUUAGCGAAAGCGAAGCAUCGAACUGAAGCCCCGGUGAACGGCGGCCGUAACUAUAACGGUCCUAAGGUAGCGAAAUUCCUUGUCGGGUAAGUUCCGACCCGCAUGAAAGGCGUAAUGAUUUGGGCACUGUCUCAACGAGGGGCCCGGUGAAAUUGAAAUACCUGUGAAGAUGCAGGUUACCCGCGACUGGACAGAAAGACCCCAUGGAGCUUCACUGCAGCUUGAGAUUGAAUCCCGGUGACAGAUGCACAGGAUAGGUGGGAGGCGUCGAAGCAUUGCCCUAGGGCGGUGCGGAGCCGAUGUUGGGAUACCACCCUUCUGUUGCUGAGAUUCUAACGCGAGGAGUAACGACCCUGCGGACCCUCUCAGGCAGGCGGUUUGACUGGGGCGGUCGCCUCCGAAAGAGUAACGGAGGCG